rnacentral:rRNA from 1 species
CCCUGAUGUUAGCGGCGGACGGGUGAGUAACACGUGGGUAACCUGCCUGUAAGACUGGGAUAACUCCGGGAAACCGGGGCUAAUACCGGAUGGUUGUUUGAACCGCAUGGUUCAAACAUAAAAGGUGGCUUCGGCUACCACUUACAGAUGGACCCGCGGCGCAUUAGCUAGUUGGUGAGGUAAUGGCUCACCAAGGCAACGAUGCGUAGCCGACCUGAGAGGGUGAUCGGCCACACUGGGACUGAGACACGGCCCAGACUCCUACGGGAGGCAGCAGUAGGGAAUCUUCCGCAAUGGACGAAAGUCUGACGGAGCAACGCCGCGUGAGUGAUGAAGGUUUUCGGAUCGUAAAGCUCUGUUGUUAGGGAAGAACAAGUACCGUUCGAAUAGGGCGGUACCUUGACGGUACCUAACCAGAAAGCCACGGCUAACUACGUGCCAGCAGCCGCGGUAAUACGUAGGUGGCAAGCGUUGUCCGGAAUUAUUGGGCGUAAAGGGCUCGCAGGCGGUUUCUUAAGUCUGAUGUGAAAGCCCCCGGCUCAACCGGGGAGGGUCAUUGGAAACUGGGGAACUUGAGUGCAGAAGAGGAGAGUGGAAUUCCACGUGUAGCGGUGAAAUGC